CUAAGGAGCAUUCUCCAGUGAGCGUCUCGAACAGUCGAGAUCGCUCCUGGCAGAGACAGUUUCGGACUCACAUGUAGUCCGGCUGAAGCUCAUGGGUGGAACGCUGACAAGUUUCAUCGCAUCAUGCUCGGUCCUCAGCGGUCGAGCGCGGUGAAUAUAUCGACACACUGUUGGGUCCUGAAAGAACAGACGUUCUUUCCAGGCAAGAUAACGACGAGGCUGAUCUUCAGUCAUACCGCCGAGAGUUUUCUCGGGCUGGUGCUGGGUAAAAGGUCGGGCUUGUGUGUUGUUUGAGAACUGCACAGUGGACGCGAGCAUCUUUGUUAGUAAGUGUGUAAGAGCGUAC
rnacentral:misc_RNA from 1 species